AUCUUAAAACCCGGNGGACUUGACGGUNCCCCAUAUCCCCCNAAGAGGAGCCUGUCCUAUAAUCNAUAACCCCCGUUUAACCUCACCACUUUUAGUCUCUCAGCCUGUAUACCUCCGUCGUCAGCUUACCGCAUGAGCGUCAGUGAGCUUAAUGUUUUNCCAACUAAACUUCNGGUCAAGGUGCAACACAUAAAGUGGGAAAAGAUGGGCUACACUUUCUAAUAUAAAUUACACAAAANACUAUUUAUGAANCCUANUCANAAGGCGGAUUUAGUANUAAAGCGNAACAANAAAUUCCCCUUUAACCUGGCACUGGGGUNUNUACACACCNCCCCGUC
rnacentral:rRNA from 1 species